UGGAACGGGUCGUUGUUUUUCUUCCGUUUUUAAUAAUGUAUUUUGUGUUUAGUGUCGUAUCCUUAAAUUUAACAUAACGUGUACGUAUCGUGGCGAGGUGUUUGCUUGAAUUAACGUAAAAUAUAUGUCAUAUUACAAAAAGGAACUGCUACUUAAUUAUACAUCUGCUGUUUUCUUCCUGAGCCGGCUCACUCUGAUGCUCUCUCAUGUUGCAUUCCAUUCAAGGCGAAUACAAGGAUUUUGUAACUGUAUGAAGAUAUUGCAGAGACACGCCAUUUGAAAUAUUACAUCCCAGAGAUGUUUCAGAUAAAAAUUCCUUGGGUGUACAUAAUUCAAGCGUUCGAUCGGUGACAGGCAAACAGCGGCAUACGUGUGUAAAAAGCCGGUGUAUUACUCAGCCUUGUCCAUAUAAGACACCUCAA